rnacentral:rRNA from 1 species
UUAAGUCAGGCAACGAGCGAGAUCCCUACCUCUAGUUGCUACCAUUACUCUCAGGAGUAGUGGGGCUAAUUAGAGGGACCGUCGCCGCUGAGGCGGAGGAAGGAGGGGGCUACGGCAGGUCAGUAUGCCCCGAAACCCUCGGGCCACACGCGGGCUGCAAUGGUAAGGACAAUGGGUUUCGAUUCUGAAAAGAGGAGACAAUCCCCAAACCUUACCCCAGUUAUGAUUGAGGGCUGAAACUCGCCCUCAUGAAUAUGGAAUCCCUAGUAACCGCGUGUCAACAUCGCGCGGUGAAUACGUCCCUGCUCCUUGCACA